rnacentral:tRNA from 1 species
GCGCCGGUGGCAUAAGGCGUAGCGUCGCUGCCCAGAAAGCAGAAGGUGUGGGUUGGAGUCCCGCCUGGCGCA